AUGAACUCGGGUUAGAGACUGGAAUAAUCUGGAACCAGAGUGUUACGACUGGAGAGAAAAGAAGUCGGUUUCGGGGGGUGAGGGAUUCGCUCGUGGAAAAUGCACUUCUGAAUUAUAUUUGUCAAAAAAAAAGUAUCUUUUUUUUAAUUAUCAAGACUAUAUUUAUUCUUAUCAAUCAAGAUUAUUUUUUUUUCUUUUUUUAUUACAACAUUUAUAAAUGAUGUGCUUAUUAUGCUUACAUUGUCGAGAUCAUAUAACUAAAGGUGUUACAUCAACUUAAAUCAGCUUGGGCUGUUUGUCCCAAUUACUUCUACCUCUCUGUUCUUCCAUUUUCAUUUUCUGCAAUUCAUCAUAUAAUGCCUCUGUCGAGUAGAGCUCGAAUCUAUGCAGAUGUGAACUCGCAUAGACCUCGGGAAUAUUGGGAUUACGAAUCGCACGUCGUCGAAUGGGGGAAUCAAGACGAUUAUCAGUUAGUGAGAAAACUUGGUCGAGGAAAAUACAGCGAAGUGUUUGAAGCAAUCAAUAUUACUAACAAUGAGAAAUGUGUA